AUUGAACGCUGGCGGCAUGCCUUACACAUGCAAGUCGAACGGCAGCACGGAGCUUGCUCUGGUGGCGAGUGGCGAACGGGUGAGUAAUAUAUCGGAACGUACCCUGGAGUGGGGGAUAACGUAGCGAAAGUUACGCUAAUACCGCAUACGAUCUACGGAUGAAAGUGGGGGAUCGCAAGACCUCAUGCUCGUGGAGCGGCCGAUAUCUGAUUAGCUAGUUGGUAGGGUAAAAGCCUACCAAGGCAUCGAUCAGUAGCUGGUCUGAGAGGACGACCAGCCACACUGGAACUGAGACACGGUCCAGACUCCUACGGGAGGCAGCAGUGGGGAAUUUUGGACAAUGGGCGAAAGCCUGAUCCAGCAAUGCCGCGUGAGUGAAGAAGGCCUUCGGGUUGUAAAGCUCUUUUGUCAGGGAAGAAACGGUGAGGGCUAAUAUCCCUUGCUAAUGACGGUACCUGAAGAAUAAGCACCGGCUAACUACGUGCCAGCAGCCGCGGUAAUACGUAGGGUGCAAGCGUUAAUCGGAAUUACUGGGCGUAAAGCGUGCGCAGGCGGUUUUGUAAGUCUGAUGUGAAAUCCCCGGGCUCAACCUGGGAAUUGCAUUGGAGACUGCAAGGCUAGAAUCUGGCAGAGGGGGGUAGAAUUCCACGUGUAGCAGUGAAAUGCGUAGAUAUGUGGAGGAACACCGAUGGCGAAGGCAGCCCCCUGGGUCAAGAUUGACGCUCAUGCACGAAAGCGUGGGGAGCAAACAGGAUUAGAUACCCUGGUAGUCCACGCCCUAAACGAUGUCUACUAGUUGUCGGGUCUUAAUUGACUUGGUAACGCAGCUAACGCGUGAAGUAGACCGCCUGGGGAGUACGGUCGCAAGAUUAAAACUCAAAGGAAUUGACGGGGACCCGCACAAGCGGUGGAUGAUGUGGAUUAAUUCGAUGCAACGCGAAAAACCUUACCUACCCUUGACAUGGCUGGAAUCCUCGAGAGAUCGGGGAGUGCUCGAAAGAGAACCAGUACACAGGUGCUGCAUGGCUGUCGUCAGCUCGUGUCGUGAGAUGUUGGGUUAAGUCCCGCAACGAGCGCAACCCUUGUCAUUAGUUGCUACGAAAGGGCACUCUAAUGAGACUGCCGGUGACAAACCGGAGGAAGGUGGGGAUGACGUCAAGUCCUCAUGGCCCUUAUGGGUAGGGCUUCACACGUCAUACAAUGGUACAUACAGAGCGCCGCCAACCCGCGAGGGGGAGCUAAUCGCAGAAAGUGUAUCGUAGUCCGGAUUGUAGUCUGCAACUCGACUGCAUGAAGUUGGAAUCGCUAGUAAUCGCGGAUCAGCAUGUCGCGGUGAAUACGUUCCCGGGUCU
rnacentral:rRNA from 1 species